rnacentral:tRNA from 1 species
UCGCAGCAGGGUGGACUUCCCCGCACCGUUCGGUCCGGUGAUGGCGAUGCGCUCGCCCGCGUUGACCUGGUUCGACACCGGGCCGAGGG